UGUUUUGCUUAAUGACAUCUCUAAAGAUGGGUUUUACAGUUGUUCAAUGGGAAAACGAGAAUAGUGUGAGUGUUGCUAUGAAAAGCAAGUCGUUGGCGCCGUGUAGUUAAAAGAAGGGACAACGUACAAAUUAUCAACUGGCCGCUACAAGGGUCGAGCGGCCAUUUAUAAAGCUAUGGAUUCUGAAAGUUUGUGAAUCUACAGAAACAAACAGCAGAGCAUGAAGAUGCUGCUUGACAGCUUACAUUUGAAUUUUAACACACAAGAGUUUUAUCCAAAGAAGUUACAACCACAUUAACUUAAGUCAACUAAGAAUUAAAUUAAGAUACAAGCCUGACUCAGGGAGGAAAGGAUAAAAUAUUUGUAUCAUCAUCCCAAAUGAAAUGAUUCCUUAAAGACUAUUUUUUGCCUGAUAGUUAUUAGUAUUUAUUGCACUAAACAUAACCCAAGCUAUUGCAUUUCAUGAGAAAGAAUCAACAGAUUUUAUUCACAAUAUGUGUCAAACCAAAUUUACUGAUUCACUAGAACUAUUUUAAAUGAAAAGCUAUAAUUGAGGAUAACUUUUGGAAAGUUUUUAAGAAAAGAAGAAGAAAUUUCAUCCUAAUAUUACUACAUGUUGAUGUUAAUAUAAUAUACAACAGCAAAAUAAUAAUUAACAUGUGAACCUGAGUUAUAAUAAUAAUAAUAUUAAUGAUAUAUAGCUUAUAUAGCGCAAUGAUUCUCAAAGAUCCAGUGGCACUUUACAAUGAUAGUGAAAGAAAAAUUUAGUCAAUUAAUGAUUAAAGUGAAAUAAAAGAAUAGUGAAAAAUCAAUGAAAGCAAAAUCUACAACUGCCUAAAUAAAUGGGUUUUAAGUUUAGACUUAAAAGUUGUCAAAAGGUCUACUUCUCAAAUAUCAUCCAGCAAGGCGUUCCACAGAGUAGCAGCUCCAUGAGAGAACGCUCUAUAUUCAUAUGUUUUAAGAUUGCAUUUCGGUAUCAUUAAGAGAUUUUUCUUUGAAGAUCUUAGGUUUCUAUUAGGAAUGUACGGUCUUAACAGUUCACUAAGAUACAGAGGACUCAGACCAUUUAACACUUUAAAAUGAGAAGAAGUAUCUUAAAAUCAAUAUGGGCAGACACAGGCAGCCAAUGGAGGCUUCUAAGUAUAGGUGUAAUGUGAUCAUAUCUGCUAGUGGCUGUGACCAGGCGGGCAGCUGAAUUUUGUACAUGUUGUAAUCUAUUAAUUUAUGACUGCUGUAGGCCAGAUAGAAGAACGUUACAAUAAUCCAACUUUGACGAAAUAAUGGCAUGAAUAAGUAUUUCACACUGACGGUGCAUGUAAAUAAAUUUCAUUGACAACUUGAA